UCGUUGGGUAGGGGAGCGUUCUGUAAGCCUGUGAAGGUGGCCUGUGAGGGUUGCUGGAGGUAUCAGAAGUGCGAAUGCUGACAUAAGUAACGAUAAAGCGGGUGAAAAGCCCGCUCGCCGGAAGACCAAGGGUUCCUGUCCAACGUUAAUCGGGGCAGGGUGAGUCGACCCCUAAGGCGAGGCCGAAAGGCGUAGUCGAUGGGAAACGGGUUAAUAUUCCCGUACUUGGUGUUACUGCGAAGGGGGGACGGAGAAGGCUAUGUUGGCCGGGCGACGGUUGUCCCGGUUUAAGCGUGUAGGUGUGUGUUCCAGGUAAAUCCGGUUCACUUUAACACUGAGGCGUGACGACGAGGCACUACGGUGCUGAAGCAACAAAUGCCCUGCUUCCAGGAAAAGCCUCUAAGCAUCAGGUAACAUCAAAUCGUACCCCAAACCGACACAGGUGGUCAGGUAGAGAAUACCAAGGCGCUUGAGAGAACUCGGGUGAAGGAACUAGGCAAAAUGGUGCCGUAACUUCGGGAGAAGGCACGCUGACACGUAGGUGAAGUGAUUUACUCAUGGAGCUGAAGUCAGUCGAAGAUACCAGCUGGCUGCAACUGUUUAUUAAAAACACAGCACUGUGCAAACACGAAAGUGGACGUAUACGGUGUGACGCCUGCCCGGUGCCGGAAGGUUAAUUGAUGGGGUCAGCGCAAGCGAAGCUCCUGAUCGAAGCCCCGGUAAACGGCGGCCGUAACUAUAACGGUCCUAAGGUAGCGAAAUUCCUUGUCGGGUAAGUUCCGACCUGCACGAAUGGCGUAAUGAUGGCCAGGCUGUCUCCACCCGAGACUCAGUGAAAUUGAACUCGCUGUGAAGAUGCAGUGUACCCGCGGCAAGACGGAAAGACCCCGUGAACCUUUACUAUAGCUUGACACUGAACAUUGAGCCUUGAUGUGUAGGAUAGGUGGGAGGCUUUGAAGUGUGGACGCCAGUCUGCAUGGAGCCGACCUUGAAAUACCACCCUUUAAUGUUUGAUGUUCUAACGUGGACCCGUAAUCCGGGUUGCGGACAGUGUCUGGUGGGUAGUUUGACUGGGGCGGUCUCCUCCUAAAGAGUAACGGAGGAGCACGAAGGUUGGCUAAUCCUGGUCGGACAUCAGGAGGUUAGUGCAAUGGCAUAAGCCAGCUUGACUGCGAGCGUGACGGCGCGAGCAGGUGCGAAAGCAGGUCAUAGUGAUCCGGUGGUUCUGAAUGGAAGGGCCAUCGCUCAACGGAUAAAAGGUACUCCGGGGAUAACAGGCUGAUACCGCCCAAGAGUUCAUAUCGACGGCGGUGUUUGGCACCUCGAUGUCGGCUCAUCACAUCCUGGGGCUGAAGUAGGUCCCAAGGGUAUGGCUGUUCGCCAUUUAAAGUGGUACGCGAGCUGGGUUUAGAACGUCGUGAGACAGUUCGGUCCCUAUCUGCCGUGGGCGCUGGAGAACUGAGGGGGGCUGCUCCUAGUACGAGAGGACCGGAGUGGACGCAUCACUGGUGUUCGGGUUGUCAUGCCAAUGGCACUGCCCGGUAGCUAAAUGCGGAAGAGAUAAGUGCUGAAAGCAUCUAAGCACGAAACUUGCCCCGAGAUGAGUUCU
rnacentral:rRNA from 1 species